CACCUUAAAACUAGCCCCACACCUAAAAGCAAAAGAUAACUACUAAUAAACCCUAAAAUAUUACAUCUAUGAAUUAAAACAUUCUACCGCCUAAGUACAGGAGAUAGAAA
rnacentral:rRNA from 1 species